UACAAGGCUGAAUUCAAAAUUGGAGAA
rnacentral:piRNA from 2 species